rnacentral:misc_RNA from 1 species
UUCUCAUGUUGGAAAUGAUCAAUCAGAAACGUCUUGUUCACAUGGUGAACCUGAAGCUUCGGAAGCUUCGGAACACAUGAAGUUAUCAAAAGUGCAUCAACCCCAAUUCAAUUCAGUAAUUCGAGAUACCGGAUCAAGUAAAAUUACAUUGAAAGAAGUAGGUUGCUCUAGUGGAGCUUCAAGCAGUAAACCUCGUAGAUUAUUUACUCCCAAGUAUUCCAAUCAAAAUAGUCCAGUAGGUUCGUCUGUUUCUUCGUCAUCUAAGGCCAUUGGUGCAGGAACAAGAGGCACCGCUAGUGGGGCUGGAUAUAUGCCGAGAAAUCUAAAAUGCAACUCACGAUCAGAUAUCUCUCCACAGAGUUGUUCGACAGCAGAUUCAAGAUUUAGUAGAAGGGACAUGGUGAAAAGAAGAAAUGCAGAAGGUGAAAGCACUUCAUCCUCUAAAGGGAAGAAAAUAAGUGGAGCAUUACCAAAAGAAGGAGAUGUCAUUCGUCCAACUCGUGGUAUCUCAAUUUCUGAUUCAAGGAAUAGUAAAAGCUUUGAUAAUAGGGAGGAUAGUCGUGCUCUAUCAGUUAGGACUCGCAAGUCAAUGAAUG